GACUCUCGGCAAUGGAUAUCUCGGCUCUCGCAUCGAUGAAGAACGUAGCAAAAUGCGAUACCUGGUGUGAAUUGCAGAAUCCCGCGAACCAUCGAGUUUUUGAACGCAAGUUGCGCCCGAGGCCUUCCGGCCGAGGGCACGUCUGCCUGGGCGUCA
rnacentral:rRNA from 1 species